rnacentral:rRNA from 1 species
UACAGAGGGUGCAAGCGUUGUUCGGAAUUAUUGGGCGUAAAGGGCGCGUAGGCGGUGCGGUAAGUCUCUAGUGAAAUCUCCGGGCUCAACUCGGAGCCUGCUAGGGAAACUGCCGUGCUCGAGUGUGGGAGAGGUGAGUGGAAUUCCCGGUGUAGCGGUGAAAUGCGUAGGUAUCGGGAGGAACACCUGUGGCGAAAGCGGCUCACUGGACCACAACUGACGCUGAGGCGCGAAAGCUAGGGGAGCAAACAGG